AUACGGAGGGUCCAAGCGUUAUCCGGAAUCAUUGGGUUUAAAGGGUCCGCAGGCGGUCAAUUAAGUCAGAGGUGAAAGCCCAUCGCUCAACGAUGGAACUGCCUUUGAUACUGGUUGACUUGAGUUAUACGGAAGUAGAUAGAAUAAGUAGUGUAGCGGUGAAAUGCAUAGAUAUUCCUUAGAAUACCGAUUGCGAAGGCAGUCUACUACGUAUAUACUGACGCUGAGGGACGAAAGCGUGGGGAGCGAACAGGAUUAGAAACCCUAGUAGUCC
rnacentral:rRNA from 1 species